rnacentral:misc_RNA from 1 species
UGGGUUUCGAAAACACGGUUACGGUGGAUCCUGUCAAUGUAAUCUUUGGCCUUUCGAUCGAUGCCGGGCUCAGCCACCCAACGGUGGCAUUUAUCGGCGUCGCUGGGCCACACCUUGGUAGGGCAUGAGAAGUCGUCCCAGCUGCUGCCCUGUUGCUGCUGCUGCUGCUCAUAGUAAUGAUCUCCUCUUCUACCUGAUCUUUUUGAUUUGAACAGAGCCCCCAAGAAGGAAAAUGAAGAUGAAUGAGAUUUCUUCG